rnacentral:rRNA from 1 species
AGUGAACGCUGGCGGUAGGCCUAACACAUGCAAGUCGAACGGCAGCACAGUAAGAGCUUGCUCUUACGGGUGGCGAGUGGCGGACGGGUGAGGAAUACAUCGGAAUCUACUUUUUCGUGGGGGAUAACGUAGGGAAACUUACGCUAAUACCGCAUACGACCUACGGGUGAAAGCAGUGGAUCUUCGGACCUUGCGCGAUUGAAUGAGCCGAUGUCGGAUUAGCUAGUUGGCGGGGUAAAGGCCCACCAAGGCGACGAUCCGUAGCUGGUCUGAGAGGAUGAUCAGCCACACUGGAACUGAGACACGGUCCAGACUCCUACGGGAGGCAGCAGUGGGGAAUAUUGGACAAUGGGCGCAAGCCUGAUCCAGCCAUACCGCGUGGGUGAAGAAGGCCUUCGGGUUGUAAAGCCCUUUUGUUGGGAAAGAAAAGCAGCAGGUUAAUCCACCGAUGUUCUGACGGUACCCAAAGAAUAAGCACCGGCUAACUUCGUG